rnacentral:misc_RNA from 1 species
AAAUCUCUCGACCUCUCUCUGAACGCGCGAAAGCUGUUCUGAGAAUGUCGGAUAUGGACCUUGUGACUUCUUCAAGAAGGCACUGGUGCUUAAAGACAGUUGAUUUCAAUUCGCUUGGGUCGAUCCUUCAUUACCCUAUGGAGUUGAACUUGUGAUAGAUGGAAAAGGUUGUAUUACCUUCUUACACGUCGCAUGGUUCUAAACUCUAUGAUUUUUGGAGGGUCCCCGAUCGUUCAUUCCUUUUCACGUCACCUUUGGUGUAUUGUGAUAUGGGGAUGAAACGAUUCUGGCGGAUUUUGAAAAACCAUUUCCAUUAUCCGGUCUCUUGUCAUGAGAGCACUCGGAA